CACUAGAUGGCUGAAAAUAGCACUGGUCUCUUAAACCAUAUUAUAAUACAUCGUAUUUCUAGUGA
rnacentral:tRNA from 1 species